UUCUUUCCUCAAAUGCUUUAAAAGUUUUGCAGUGGUGGCUCCUCAGCAUGAAAAACUGGAACAAGAAAAUAUAUUUUAAUAUAAAGUUGUUGAAUGCAGGUUGUCAUCCCUGUAAAUGACAUUUCCAGAAAUAAUGUCAAAGUGUUUUGGUCUUUUUAACCAAGAAUAUGUAGGUUAAAAAAAUCUUUUGGCACACCCAUUCUCCUCCUACUUUAGGCGACUAUAUCACAUGACUUUUUUGAUAAAGUUCCAACUUAAGAUGAUCUGGACUAAUUUUGCCACUUUGCUCCUUGCAGAAGUCUGUUCAAGAGUUUCAUUGCUCUUUGUAUCUUGUCCUAGGAUUGUGUUUGUCUUGAAGUUUGUUCAUAUUACACUGUUGUCUUGUAUCACCUUUAGUUGUUCCUCACCUGCAGUCUUACUCAUUUGUCUGUUUUCACUAGUCAAUUAAUCAUGGCCAUAUAAUUCUUUACGGGUUGUUAUCUGUGUCUUUAUCUGUACUACUAGCAUGUAUCCUGACGUUUGCUGUCAACAUCUGUUUACUUGGAUUUUGUUUCAAGGUAAAGCCUACAAAUAUAUUAAACAAGAUGGUUAAGAAGCACUCAGGUUGCAUAUUUUAUUUCUUGGGACCACUUGUGAUUGUCUCGUUUUUCCUCCUUCUGUCUUUUUUUUUUCCUUGCCUGUCUUAUCAUUACCUGCCUUAUCUUUCCAGUAAUCCCCACCUGCUUCUAGUAAACUAUGAAUUUCCCUUACAGUGUCAUGGCGUGGUUUUUGCUGAUGCCCAAGUGGAUUAUCUGUUUCAUUUCCUUUUUGUGAAAAUAUGUUGUUUAUUUUUUAAAUCUGUCCAAUGCUGUGUCUGAUCAGAGGUUGUCACUAUAAAUAAUAAUCUUAUAUGUAGCGAAACCUCAUGGAAGCUUUUACCCCCAUAUCUUAAAGACCAAGAAUUACAAGGUAGAGAUUUUGGAGAAUGUCAUUCACUUCUUCUCUUUGCUAUGUCAACCAGCUGAAAGCUAUAAGUCAGAAACUAAAAUUUCCUUAUUAAUGGAAAAAUACAACAUUGGGAUUUCUGAAACUGUAAGUAUCAGUGAAAGUUUAAAAUGCUUUGAUGUAAAAAUAAGCUCCAAACUCAGACUUUCUAGGGAAUGUUUUUGCUGGAAGUUGGUCCUAGCCUAAUCCAUUUUCUUGGGUUUGUAUUACUCAUUCCCUUUUUCACAAUUCACCAAGACACAUUUUUUUCUGGCCUUGGUCAUAGUCCUUUUUAUGGCAAAAGUAGGUGGAGAGGAGUCAGUAGAAAGGAAUCACAAAAGGUCCUUUUUCUUCCAUGUCAUCCCAUGUAAAUAUUUGGAGGAAAAUUGUAUUUCUUUGUAGUAUCCUAGAUGCUUGAUGUCCCUUUCACCAGUUCUUGAUGAUAGGUUUUCAAGAGUUAGAAUACAAUUACCAUGUAACAUGUCCAAGAGGCACUUGAAGACCUCUUUCAAACUUUAUAGCAGCUAAAACCCUACAGAGUGCAAACUACAACCAAAAAAGGGUUCCUGUUAACUAGCAGGAUUGUUAUAGUAAGCUUUCAGAGCUUCCAUCUAUUUAGUUUUAAUUUUAUGUAUUUUUUUAAAUAUGUGCGACUUUUUUUAUUUAAAGGUCAUAAUUUCUAGGGAUGUAUGUGAUUUCCAUGGGAAAGCACUUCUUGACAGUAUCUUUUAAAGGUAUACAAGCAGUCUUGAUACCUUGAUGGAAAUAAAAAUGAUGUAAAAAAAGGCAACUGGCCCACAAAUCCUCUUGUCUACAGGAAAACAGAAGAGUCUUCUUUUCCUCCAUGCAUGGACCAACGCAAAUCCUAAGUUAAAGUCAUCAAAGUGGUGGUGGCUGUCUGAGACUCUCAAGCAGUUCUACCCAAGACAGAAUGUUCUUCCAAUUGAAUAGAGAGCUUAUUAUGACAAGAGAAUGGAUUUUCAGUAGAACACCAGGCUUUGCGCACGCCAAGGGACUACAGCUUUCACAAGUGGAAGACUAAUACUGCUGGGCUGACCUGGGUGCUCAAAUCAGUGAAUCAACUAGUUCCUGCUAACUAAGCCUGCAAAAUCCUAAUGAAGACAAUGGAAUUAUGCUGCUCUGAAGUAGCAAGUUGUGAAGAAAAAGCUUGAAAAUAUAAUACUAUUAUACAAUCCCCUCUUCUAACAGAGGAAAUGGAAGGAUCUGAAAUGUGGAGGGGUUUUUUUACUAUGG